UACAGGGGGUGCUAGCGUUGUUCGGAAUUAUUGGGCGUAAAGAGCUCGUAGGCGGUUUGUCGCGUCUGCUGUGAAAACCUAAGGCUCAACCUUGGGCUUGCAGUGGGUACGGGCAGACUAGAGUGCGGUAGGGGUGACUGGAAUUCCUGGUGUAGCGGUGGAAUGCGCAGAUAUCAGGAGGAACACCGAUGGCGAAGGCAGGUCACUGGGCCGCAACUGACGCUGAGGAGCGAAAGCAUGGGGAGCGAACAGG
rnacentral:rRNA from 1 species